AGUAACGCGUGGGUAACCGUGCCUCAUACAGGGGGAUAACAGUUAGAAAUGACUGCUAAUACCGCAUAAGCGCACAGUGCUGCAUGGCACAGUGUGAAAAACUCCGGUGGUAUGAGAUGGACCCGCGUCUGAUUAGCUAGUUGGUGGGGUAACGGCCUACCAAGGCGACGAUCAGUAGCCGCCUGAGAGGGUGACGGCCACAUUGGGACUGAGACACGGCCCAA
rnacentral:rRNA from 1 species